rnacentral:lncRNA from 1 species
CCAAAAUGCCAAGAAUCCAACAGUAUUCAUUUAGGAGUCAUGUUACCAACCAUAAUACUUCAAAAACCUCUAUUUCAAACAGCAUCCAAGCACUUUCCUUGUCAAAGCUACAGGAUAUAAUGCAAAACAAAAACAAAAAACUUCUGUAUUUAUCCUUUAAACGAUUCCUUAUUGCCCAUUAUCCUUAUUGCCCAUUUUUCUUAUUUUUAUUGCCCGUUUUAAUAAAAUAACAUGCUUUAUUUUGUAGCACUGUAACAAAAUUAUUGGAACCUACUUUGAGAAAUGUGGAAAGGUUGCUGCUCUAUCCAAUGACUACAAAAUGAUCUGCAUUGAUGAAUACUGCCAAACUAGAGACAAAACAUCUACAUGUGACACUUAUUCAGAACUGUCCCGCCUCUGUGCCUCAGAUGGUCCUGGCACCUUUGAAUCCUGGCGAAGCGACUCCGAUGUGGUUUGUGGAACACAAAGAUGUCCAGAACAACAUAUCUACAAAGAAUGUGGACCCUCCAACCCUGCAACUUGUUCUAAUGUGGCUCCUUUUCAAGACAGUGAAUGUGUGAGCGGCUGCACCUGCCCAGAAGGUUAUCUGUUGGAUGACAUUGGAGAGAAAGGAAAAUGUGUAUUAAAAGCUGAAUGUCCCUGUGAAUCCAGUGGAACAGUGUAUCAGCCAGGAGAAGUCCGAG